AUCCAGUCAAAAAGUAUUCAAAAAUAGAGUAAUAAAGAAAAAUUAAUUAAUAUCCAUAAAACUUGAAGAAAAGCAGAGUAUACUCCAACACUGACACAUGGUAUUUCUCUUUUCACUUUAGAGGAAUGAACCUCGACGAGUGAGUAGCCCCAAUACCAGGUCUACCAUGCUUGACAGGCUUGUACGAUAUAGAAAACUCAGCUAGGUAAUGGCCAAUCAUCUCAGGCUUGAUUUCAACCUGAUUGAAG
rnacentral:misc_RNA from 1 species